UUAGGGUUAGCGCAAAGCAUAUAAUGCCCUAGACCCUAACCAGCGAGGAGAGGCGUAGACAACGUUACUGCGGCCUCUCUUUGCUUCUGGGAUCUCUUACCAAUCUCUCGAAGGCAUCUGUCUUGUGUUUCUCGUACAUUUCAAUUUAUGACUUUCUGAAUUUUGGUUUUUAGAUUUCGAAGAUGAGCAUCGGUGAUGAAUUCUCACAAUCGUUAUCCUUGCACUUUGAUUGAUAGUGAAGAUAAUCAUGGGGACUGUAAUUUCUGAGAUGCUUCUAUAUCGAAUGAAUUCCAAAUUCUUGUAGAAUUGUUCCUGGUAAGGCUUGAUGAUAUGGAUGAUGAUUUAGGUGGAAGCUUACUACCUUGUGGUCCAUUUCUGUUGCUGCUACAGUUGCAAGAAGCAGUCCCCCCCACCCCCUCGCUUGAUCAACAGAUGUUAUUUGGAAAAUGCUGCGACAUGUUCUAGUCGAUAGCAACAAUGUUGAUGGGUUGGAAUUUGUAUACUACUUGAAUUAAAUCUCUGAAUUUUACAUUUGCUGAAUCAACUCAUUGGAAAAACCUUGAAUGAUUA